UGGCACAUUUCAUUGACUUGCUCUCUGUCCUGCUGAGCAGUGUUAUUUCUAAUGUGCUAGAGCAAAGUGAAGGUUAAUUAGCAGCGUGACCUGUGUGUGGUGGUAACUGCUGCCAGUCCCCUUCAUACAUGU